CAACUUAGUCCCUGUGUAGUUUCCAUCACAGAGCCAUUAUCGGAGAGAUAAUGUGUACAACGUCGUUUUUGUUUGGCGCUCAAAUAGCCCAAAACGACGUCGUAUCAUGUUAUAUGAGAUGGAAAACGUUUUAGUUAAACAAAUCACACCAUAUUCUCCCCCAUGAUAAGACUGUUCUUCUUCUUUCUCUUCUCUUCAAUGGCGCUGCGAGUCUGACUUAUCAGAUUCGUUGAAGUCGCGAUUUUCUUCUCUUCAACCACUUCACAUUGCACCGGUCGUCUUCUCUUCACCAACGUUGACUAAGUUUGAGAUGGGAGAUCAAUUCAUUAAAAUUAUAUAUCACCAUGGAGGAUCAUUUGUCA